AGAGUUUGAUCAUGGCUCAGGACGAACGCUGGCGGCAUGGAUUAGGCAUGCAAGUCGAACGAAAAGCAGGAGCUUGCUCCUGUGGACGAGUGGCGAAAGGGUGAGUAACGCGUGAGUAACCUGCCCUCAAGUUGGGGAUAACCUUUGGAAACGAAGGCUAAUACCGAAUGUGAAUAGUUUUCCGCAUGGAAUUCUAUUUAAAAAUUUAUUGCUUGAGGUUGGGCUCGCGUACCAUUAGCUAGUUGGUGUGGUAACGGCAUACCAAGGCGACGAUGGUUAGGUGGAUUGAGAGAUCGGUCACCCACACUGGGACUGAGACACUGCCCAGACUCCUACGGGAGGCAGC
rnacentral:rRNA from 1 species